ensembl:ncRNA H32C10.96 ncRNA
CGCUCAAGUGGAAACGAGUAGAAAUUGAUACUCAAUGAGAGAGGAGCCCUUGUCGGCGGAUCUCUUUGUUCAUUGUCUGCGUCUUCUCGUCUUCCACACUCUAUCUCUCAUUUGUUACGGUCUGCCGCCUUCCGAUUUACCACAAAAGA